rnacentral:ncRNA from 1 species
AGUUGAUAAAGCCACAGCCGUCGCGAGGCGGUGUCGGAAAGCCACGGGUCUCCAAGGAAGGAGACAGCCGGGUUGCCUGC